UACAGAGGUCCCAAGCGUUGUUCGGAUUCACUGGGCGUAAAGGGCGCGUAGGUGGCGCGGGAAGUCAACGGUGAAAGUUCGGGGCUCAACCCUGAAUCGGCCGUCGAUACUCCCGGGCUCGAGCACUGUAGAGGCAGAUGGAAUUCCGGGUGUAGCGGUGGAAUGCGUAGAGAUCCGGAAGAACACCGGUGGCGAAGGCGGUCUGCUGGGCAGUUGCUGACACUGAGGCGCGACAGCGUGGGGAGCAAACAGG
rnacentral:rRNA from 1 species